rnacentral:rRNA from 1 species
AGUGAACGCUGGCGGUAGGCCUAACACAUGCAAGUCGAACGGCAGCACAGUAAGAGCUUGCUCUUACGGGUGGCGAGUGGCGGAUGGGUGAGGCAUACAUCGGAAUCUACUUUUUCGUGGGGGAUAACGUAGGGAAACUUACGCUAAUACCGCAUACGACCUACGGGUGAAAGCAGGGGAUCUUCGGACCUUGCGCGAUUGAAUGAGCCGAUGUCGGAUUAGCUAGUUGGCGGGGUAAAGGCCCACCAAGGCGACGAUCCGUAGCUGGUCUGAGAGGAUGAUCAGCCACACUGGAACUGAGCCACGGUCCAGACUCCUACGGGAGGCAGCAGUGGGGAAUAUUGGACAAUGGGCGCAAGCCUGAUCCAGCCAUACCGCGUGGGUGACGAAGGUCUUCGGGUUGUAAAGCCCUUUUGUUGGGAAAGAAAAGCAGCAGGUUAAUACCCCGCUGUUCUGACGGUACCCAAAGAAUAAGCACCGGCUAACUUCGUG